rnacentral:rRNA from 1 species
UGUAAAACCCUUCCAGAGUAACAAUUGGAGGCCAAGUCUGCUGCCAGCAGCCGGAUAAUUCCAGCUCCAAUAGUGUAUAUUAGAGUUGUUGCAGUUAAAAAGCUCGUAGUUGGAUUUCUGUCGUGGUCAGUCGGCGGCGCCCGUAGUCUGUGCGCGUGAUUUGCCCGCGACAUUCUUCCGGUAGCCAUCCGCGCUUGAACUGCGUGAGGUGCGUGAUCCGGAACCUUUACUUUGAGAAAAAUAGAGUGUUCCAAGCAGGCUUGUCGCCCUGAAUACUGCAGCAUGGAAUAAUAAGAUAGGACGUUGGUUCUAUUUUGUUGGUUUCUAGGACCAAUGUAAUGAUUAAUAGGGACAGUUGGGGGCAU